rnacentral:rRNA from 1 species
AUUGAACGCUGGCGGCAGGCCUAACACAUGCAAGUCGAACGAGUGGCGGACGGGUGAGUAAUGUCUGGGAAACUGCCCGAUGGAGGGGGAUAACUACUGGAAACGGUCUCUAAUACCGCAUACCAUCGGAUGUGCCCAUAUGGGAUUAGCUUGUAGGUGGGGUAAAGGCUCACCUAGGCGACGAUCCCUAGCUGGUCUGAGAGGAUGACCAGCCACACUGGAACUGAGACACGGUCCAGACUCCUACGGGAGGCAGCAGUGGGGAAUAUUGCACAAUGGGCGCAAGCCUGAUGCAGCCAUGCCGCGUGUAUGAAGAAGGCCUUCGGGUUGUAAAGUACUUUCAGCGGGGAGGCGUUACCCGCAGAAGAAGCACCGGCUAACUCCGUGCCAGCAGCCGCGGUAAUAC